GAAACAGUCUUUGCUAGUUGGAUUUAGUUUCAGCGAGUCUAGUGCACGUACCAUUGCUGUUUCUGAAAUUCCCCAUCUGGGGCUCUGAAUACAACACUUUUUGGAUCUGAACUGCAGUGGCUAGGGAGAAAUGCGUGCCUUCUCUUCAGUGAUGUGCGCCUGCAGGCUUUUUCUUCCUCCUACGGGACGGAAGCCUAAGCAUCCCUGAGUGUCCUAAACCGCCCACCCAGACCUCCAGAAGCCAGGAAGCAGAGGUGGCCGGAAAUCUCAUCACAGUCGUGGGGACCCUGCAGGCUGUAAGGACAGAUGGGCAUCCUGCUCUUCAUUUGGCCCACGGAGUCGCCUUAGAGAGCUGGGCACGUUAGGCGACAGCUCCAGAAGUUGUUUCUUAACUUUAGACGCUACUCCAAUUCAAUUUGUUCACCAACCUCAUCUCGGGCGGGACCUAAUGCUUUGUGUAUUCGCAUCAGCCAUUGAUGGACUAGAGACCCAAUUGUCUGCUCGGACGCUCCAUUCCUCCGUGUGAAAAGGGGUGAGACCGCCCUUAAGAGACCGGCACCUUUUCGGAGCUCGACCUCUUCCAUGGCCCGCAACCAAGAGCAGGUGGCUUGGCGGCAGCCUUAACCUCAUACUAGCCCCUCAUACGCUGACCUCGGCAUUCUGGCAGCUCCCACGCUGGGAUUAAAGUCUCCACACCCACACUGCGACCUUGGGCUCUGGUUUAUCUUCCCUUUCAUCCUUUGUGGUACAAAGAUGCCAAAGAUCAGCAGUGCCUGGCUCAGGCAGAAGAGCCUUUGGAAGGCCAGGUUCUGGCUGGAUUGUCACCCUGCUGCCACUUGGAACCUUGGGGGUUGUGGGCGAGGAUAGGGUUGUGGUGCUAGUGGUUAAGAAUCCAAUCAGGGAGAAGCUGGUUUGUUGUGGUCUCCCAAAAUGACUUUGGGCAAGAGCCUAAAGGUGUCUUCUGAGGUAGAAUCCUGACCUUUGAAGGAAGGGCUGUAGGUGUAGGUAGAGUGGGCAGGAAGUUCAAAGUCAGUUUCAGCUACACAGAGAGUUUGAGGCCAAUCAGGACAACACAAGAGAGGGAAAGGAGGGAGGGAGAGUAUAUUUGCUCAAGUUCAGCUGAGGGUCAGGCUUUCCCUUACCUGUGAAUUGAACUAAGUCAAAUAGAGAAGGUGUACACUACUAGUUAGUGUAGGUCUUGCCCGUUGUGUCCUGGGGUAAGGGCAGGAUAACUUGACUGCUCCCUCCUCUCCUGUCUCUUUAGGGUGGAUGAAAGCAAGAGGACCCCUCUAUUCGUCAAUCAGGUGCCAGCCAAGAGCCGAAGAACUUGUACAGGGGUCAAGAAUACCCACAACACUCACAAGACCUUCAGGAACAGUCAUCUCCCCCUGGGGCAGAUAAAGUCAGACCAGACGGAGGAGCUAGAUUCCAUCCGGAGGGAGCUGAGCAAGAUCAAAGCCCGGGUGGACAGCCUGUUGGAGAGUCUGGAGUCCAUGGAGCAGCAGAGGGACCAGCGCGUGAGUCAGGUGAAGAAUCUCGCAUCAGACCAGAAUAGCCAGUAGGAGGUGGGGAACCUUCCAGACUUUCUUCACUGGUACUCUUGGGUGGCUUGUUUUCUUGCCUUGUAUUUUUGGAAGGCCUAGUCACUCCCAUGCGACUUGAAGUCACCUUUCUGGAGCUUGGGUAUUGAAAGUCUGAAGCACGGUACAGCCCACCCAGAAAACCUCCCCCUCCCGGUAGUCGUGGGUUUAACUCUCUUUUUCCAUGAGUCUUGCUGUGGGCAGGGUAGGGAAGCCACACAGACCAGCAGUGCCUAUUUUCAUUCAAUUGUGGUGGUCUUGCAGGAGGCACACGACAGGGCCCUGAGCCCAAAAGGCACUAUUAGCUCUCAUGGAAUGAAAACUGUCUCUUCCCCACACAACACUAAACCUGAUGGUGUGCGCCCACCUAAGCAACCUCUUUUGGUUAAACCCACCAUGUGCUCUAUGAAGCCAUAAGCUAUCCUUCCGAAUAAAGGAGCGUUUAUGUCUCUAUCUUGAGUCUCACUAGUAAGUAUAACACUAAUUUUGGAUUUGUUCUACAGUCAUGUCAGAAGGGG
ensembl:lncRNA